UGAGGAAUAUUGGGCAAUGCCCGCCAGGGUGACCCAGCAACGCCGCGUGGAGGAUGAAUGUCGUAAGAUUGUAAACUCCUGUUAGAGGGGAAGAAUAGUACCGGUUGGACCGGUAUAUGACUGUACCCUCAGAGAAAGCCCCGGCUAACUACGUGCCAGCAGCCGCGGUAAUACGUAGGGGGCAAGCGUUGUCCGGAUUUACUGGGUGUAAAGGGCGCGCAGGCGGGAUAAAAAGUCAGUGGUGAAAUCCUACAGCUCAACUGUAGAACUGCCUUUGAUACGUUUAUUCUUGAGUUCGGGAGAGAGAGACGGAAUUCCAGGUGUAGGGGUGAAAUACGUAGAUAUCUGGAAGAACACCAGUUGCGAAGGCGGUCUCUUGGUCCGACACUGACGCUGAGGCGCGAAAGCGUGGGGAGCAAACA
rnacentral:rRNA from 1 species